GUUUGAGUGCUGGACUAGUGGUUUGAGUGCUGGACUAUGACUCUGGAGGCCAGGGUUCAAUUCCCAGCUCAGCCA